AUACGCCGAUUGCCCUCAAAAGAUAUGUCUUUAUUAUGAUUCUAAAGUCAUAAAAUGCAAUGAUUUUUUGGGUUCUGCUAAUGGGUUUUCAUUCACACCAUUUUCUUCAAUUUUGGACAAAACUUUUCAGAAUACUCAACCCAUAGAUGUUAUUGGAGAUGUUUGUGUUUGUUACGACACGGAAUCUUUCACCGGUAAAAAUGGGAAAGAAUCAGUUAAAAGAACGAUUCAGCUUGAAGAUAAAGAGGGCAAUAAAAUAUAUGUGACUCCGUGGGACUCAUACGUGCAUCAGUUUAAUGAUUACAUCUCACAAAAUCCA